rnacentral:rRNA from 1 species
UACGAAGGGGGCAAGCGUUGUUCGGAAUUACUGGGCGUAAAGGGCGCGCAGGCGGCUAUGUAAGUCAGAUGUGAAAGCCCCGGGCUCAACCUGGGAAUAGCAUUUGGGACUGCAUGGCUAGAGAUCGGGAGAGGAGAGUGGAAUUCCCAGUGUAGAGGUGAAAUUCGUAGAUAUUGGGAAGAACACCGGUGGCGAAGGCGGCUCUCUGGACCGAUACUGACGCUGAGGCGCGAAAGCGUGGGGAGCAAACAGG